rnacentral:rRNA from 1 species
CCUACGGGAGGCAGCAGUGGGGAAUAUUGCACAAUGGGCGAAAGCCUGAUGCAGCCAUGCCGCGUGUGUGAAGAAGGCCCUAGGGUUGUAAAGCACUUUCAGUGGGGAGGAAAGGUUGAAGGUUAAUACCCUUCGGCUGUGACGUUACCCACAGAAGAAGCACCGGCUAACUCCGUGCCAGCAGCCGCGGUAA